UCGGGAAUUUUGCUCAAUGGGCGAAAGCCUGAAGCAGCAACGCCGCGUGAGGGAUGAAGGCCUUCGGGUUGUAAACCUCUUUUCCCAGGGACGAUGAUGACGGUACCUGGGGAAUAAGCCACGGCUAACUACGUGCCAGCAGCCGCGGUAAUACGUAGGUGGCAAGCGUUGUCCGGAUUUACUGGGCGUAAAGAGCGCGCAGGCGGCCGAGUCAGUCGAAUGUGAAAGCCCCCGGCUCAACUGGGGAGGGUCAUUCGAUACUGCUCGGCUUGAAGAUGGGAGAGGGAAGCGGAAUUUCAGGUGUAGUGGUGAAAUGCGUAGAUAUCUGAAGGAACACCAGUGGCGAAGGCGGCUUUCUGGCCCAUUCUUGACGCUGAGGCGCGAAAGCUAGGGGAGCAAACGGG
rnacentral:rRNA from 1 species